rnacentral:misc_RNA from 1 species
AAGUAAAAAUUAAAUAAAUUUAGCAAUGAAAGCUUUACAGAUAUCAUGGUGUAGCAGAAAUUAUUUUGGAAGAUAAUAUUAACAAGAAGGACAUGAUAACAUACAGUCCUGAGUACAGCAGCAACAGAAAUUAUUUUCAAGACCUUUGUCUAUUUCAGUCCUGACUGCAGCAGCAACACCCAGGACAAUGUCUUCAGGCAGAAUGACAUCUGGAAUU